rnacentral:rRNA from 1 species
GACGAACGCUGGCGGCGCGCCUAACACAUGCAAGUCGAACGAGCGAGAGAGAGCUUGCUUUCUCAAGCGAGUGGCGAACGGGUGAGUAACGCGUGAGGAACCUGCCUCAAAGAGGGGGACAACAGUUGGAAACGACUGCUAAUACCGCAUAAGCCCACGGAACCGCAUGGUUCUGGGGGAAAAGGAGCAAUUCGCUCUGGGAUGGACUCGCGUCCGAUUAGCUGGAUGGUGAGGUAACGGCCCACCAUGGCGACGAUCGGUAGCCGGACUGAGAGGUUGAUCGGCCACAUUGGGACUGAGACACGGCCCAG